AUUGCAGAGAAGGUGAGGGAAGCAAGGUUGAGAUGGUAUGGACAUGUAACAAGAAGAGAUAAAGGAAAGUUGGUCGGAAGCAUAAUGGAAUGAAAAGAUCAGAAGAUGUGAGGUGGUAGACUUUGCAGAGAAGGUGAGGGAAGCAAGGUUGAGAUGGUAUGGACACGUAAUAAGAAGAGAUGAAGGAGAGCUGGUCAGAGACAUUAUGGAAUGAAGAGAUCAGAAGAUGUGGGGUGAUAGACAUUGCAGAGAAGGUGAGGGAAGCAAGGUUGAGAUAGUAUGGACACAUAAUAAGAAGAGAUGAAGGAGAGCUGGUCAGAGACAUUAUGGAAUGAAGAGAUCAGAAGACGUGGGGUGGUAGACAUUGCAGAGAAGGUGAGGGAAGCAAGGUUGAGAUGGUAUGGACACGUAAUAAGAAGAGAUGAAGAAGAGGCGGUCAGAAAUAUUAUAUCGGGUGUCCCCCCAAAAAAACUGGGCACUGUUUGAUUUCAUGUAACGUAAAAGCUAUAAAAGCUAUCGCAAUGAAACAAAGAUCAUUGCAUUCAGAAAGGACUAACUUAGAUU